CCUUACAAUAUCCUAUUUCCAUGCCCUGUUCCCCUGGCACUCAAAGCUGAGACCGUCUUCAUCCUGCUUCUCCCCGCCAUGGGCUCCGUGCUCCUCUGCUGUGUGGUCUUCUGUCUCCUGGGAACAGGCUCCAUGGAUACCGGUGUUACCCAGACCCCAAGAAAUAGGAUCGCAGUCACAGGAAAGAGCACUGUACUGGAAUGUUCUCAGACUAAGGGCCAUGAGUCUAUGUACUGGUAUCGACAGGACCCUGGACGGGGGCUCCGGCUGGUCUACUCCUCCUACGAUAUCAAUGGUAUUAACAAAGGAGAUGUCUCUGCUGGGUACAAUGUCUCUCGUAAGGAGAAGGCAAAAUUCUCCCUCUACCUAGAGCCUGCUACCCCCAACCAGAAGGCCAUUUACUUCUGUGCCAGCAGUAUUUGCACAGUGCUUCCUGGCCACCUGCUGUCUACACAGAAAGGCCGCUGCGUUUGCUUGGAAGGGCACACAGGCUUCCUCGAUGUGGGGCCCUCGUCACCUGUGACCGAGGAGAACUACAUCGCCCUUCUCACCGCCCCACCAGCCUCCUCCUGUAUCUGCUUUUCUUCCAUCUUGGACAUUGCCACCAGCCUGAUUGGGCCUGUCAUUCUUUACUUGGUGCACAGAGUCCUCUAUAAAUGA